CUACGGGGUGCUGCAGUGGGGAAUAUUGCCCAAUGGACGAAAGUCUGAGGCAGCAACGCCGCGUGUGCGAAGAAGGUCUUCGGAUUGUAAAGCACUUUUAGCAGGGAAGAGGAAGGACAGUACCUGCAGAAUAAGCCUCGGCUAACUACGGUGCCAGCAGCCGCGGUAACACGUAGGAGGCAAGCGUUAUCCGGAUUUACUGGGCGUAAAGCGCGUGCAGGCGGGUUGGUAAGUUAGAUGUGAAAUCUCCUGGCUUAACUGGGAGAGGUCGUCUAAAACUACCAGUCUGGAGUGCGAGGGAGGGAGGCAGAAUUCCGAGUGUAGUGGUGAAAUGCGUAGAUAUUCGGAGGAAUACCAGAGGCGAAGGCGGCCUCCUGGCUCGCAACUGACGCUGAGACGCGAAAGCUAGGGUAGCAAACGGGAUUAGAUACCCGCGUAGUC
rnacentral:rRNA from 1 species